rnacentral:rRNA from 1 species
AUUGAACGCUGGCGGCAUGCUUUACACAUGCAAGUCGAACGGCAGCACAGGGAGCUUGCUCCCGGGUGGCGAGUGGCGCACGGGUGAGUAAUACAUCGGAACGUGUCCUGUUGUGGGGGGAUAACUGCUCGAAAGGGUGGCUAAUACCGCAUGAGACCUGAGGGUGAAAGCGGGGGAUCGCAAGACCUCGCGCAAUUGGAGCGGCCGAUGCCCGAUUAGCUAGUUGGUGAGGUAAAGGCUCACCAAGGCGACGAUCGGUAGCUGGUCUGAGAGGACGACCAGCCACACUGGGACUGAGACACGGCCCAGACUCCUACGGGAGGCAGCAGUGGGGAAUUUUGGACAAUGGGGGCAACCCUGAUCCAGCCAUGCCGCGUGCAGGAUGAAGGCCUUCGGGUUGUAAACUGCUUUUGUCAGGGACGAAAAGGAUCGUGAUAAUACCAUGGUCUGCUGACGGUACCUGAAGAAUAAGCACCGGCUAACUACGUG